ACGACAACAGGGUUGUUUUAUUUUACGAGGAUUUUCUCGCUUAUUUUGUUGGUAGAAAAAUGUUUCUUAUCGCCGCUUAUUAAUGACAUAGCUGGUGACAAUCCAGCAGCAAUGUAUCACGGGCACGUUGGGUCUUCCACAAAAUCAUAUCAUGCGCAUUUAGUCCAUAUUGCUGUAGCGGUGAGUUAUCGCGUCUAUGCCAGAAGAAAGUUUAUGAUAUAAUCCGGAAUGGGUAGCUGUAACUUAUUUAAUAAAAUUUAAUUUAUUUAAAAUGAUUUCAAUUUUAAAGGAUAACGCACUCAAAGGUUUUGUUGUGUAAAUUUGAAAAAAAAUAGUCGUACUUAUCUAAAAAGUUUCUCGGAAACUAAUUUAGAUGUCAUCGAAUAUUGGCUACAUUUUAAACUCAUGUCGCUCGGAAUGGUAUUUGAAGUUAUAAAACAAUUUUAAUUAAAUAAAGUAAAAAUAUUUUUAUUUUCAAAAUACUUAGUCUUCAUUA
rnacentral:sRNA from 1 species